CCUACGGGAGGCAGCAGUGGGGAAUUUUGGCACAAUGGGCGCAAGCCUGAUCCAGCAAUGCCGCGUGCAGGAUGAAGGCCUUCGGGUUGUAAACUGCUUUUGUACGGAGCGAAACAGUCCAUUUUAACACAGUGGGCUAAUGACGGUACCGUAAGAAUAAGCACCGGCUAACUACGUGCCAGCAGCCGCGGUAAUACGUAGGGUGCGAGCGUUAAUCGGAAUUACUGGGCGUAAAGCGUGCGCAGGCGGUUAUAUAAGACAGAUGUGAAAUCCCCGGGCUCAACCUGGGACCUGCAUUUGUGACUGUAUAGCUAGAGUACGGUAGAGGGGGAUGGAAUUCCGCGUGUAGCAGUGAAAUGCGUAGAUAUGCGGAGGAACACCGAUGGCGAAGGCAAUCCCCUGGACCUGUACUGACGCUCAUGCACGAAAGCGUGGGGAGCAAACAGGAUUAGAUACCCUGGUAGUCCACGCCCUAAACGAUGUCAACUGGUUGUUGGGUCUUCACUGACUCAGUAACGAAGCUAACGCGUGAAGUUGACCGCCUGGGGAGUACGGCCGCAAGGUUGAAACUCAAAUGAAUUGACGG
rnacentral:rRNA from 1 species